rnacentral:rRNA from 1 species
CAAGAGCGUAUGUAAAAGUUGUUGCAGUUAAAAAGCUCGUAGUUGAACCUUGGGUUUGGUUGGCCGGUCCGCUUUUUGCGAGUACUGGAUUCAACCGAGCCUUUCCUUCUGGCUAACCAGUCGUUUCGGCGGCUGGCGAACCAGGAUUUUUACUUUGAGAAAAUUAGAGUGUUCAAAGCAGGCAUUAGCUUGAAUAUAUUAGCAUGGAAUAAUAGAAUAGGACGUUAUGGUUCUAUUUUGUUGGUUUCUAGGACCAUCGUAAUGAUUAAUAGGGACGGUCGGGGGCAUCAGUAUUCAGUUGUCAGAGGUGAAAUUCUUGGAUUUACUGAAGACUAACUACUGCGAAAGCAUUUGCCAAGGACGUUUUCAUUAA